rnacentral:misc_RNA from 1 species
GAUGAAGAACGCAGCGAAAUGCGAUACUUGGUGUGAAUUGCAGAAUCCCGUGAACCAUCGAGUCUUUGAACGCAAGUUGCGCCCGAAGCCAUUAGGCCGAGGGCACGCCUGCCUGGGCGUCACACGUCGUUGCCCCCCCAUCUACUCCUUCGGGAUUGCGGGGGGCGGAUGAUGGCCUCCCGUGCGCCUCGCCGCGCGGUUGGCAUAAAUGCCAAGUCCUCGGCGACGCACGCCACGACAAUCGGUGGUUGCGAAACCUCGGUUGCCCGUCGUGUGCGGUCGUCGCGCAUCGAGGGCUCGAAAAAAUUGCCGGGUUCCGGCUCGGCUUUCAACGCGACCCCAGGUCAGGCGGGGUUACCCGCUGAAUUUAAGCAUAUCAGUAAGCGGAGGA